rnacentral:lncRNA from 1 species
GUUUAUGAGCCCCUGGGGCAAAGAUUUCAUUCCAUAGCCCUGAAGUUGGAAGCAGGGAGAUGAUUUGGUUCAUUGAUUUCUCUUCUGUUUCUUUCCAGUUCUCUAGCCCCUGAUCCCUAUCUGCUGGGGGAGUAGUUAAUAAUUUUUACUUCUAUCCUCUGGCUUUCAAUUAAUAAGUACUCAGGUGAUCUGAUUUAAGGCAUGCUUUGAGGUUGUUUAGCCACUUCCAUGAGCCCUUAGCUACAGUGUGUUUCAGGUAAAGUCAUUAAUAGUGUAUAAGGAUGACAAAACUUGUUUUACAUUAUCAUGAAAUUAUUUAAUUUUUAAACCUGGUAAAUUAAAAAAAAAUAGGUAUGUUUUUAAAAGGUUACCUAGAACCAUAGCCAUGGAAGUUUAUUCUCGCUCCAACCAACGUCUGUGCGUUUUUUUAAACUGCUGGAGACAGCUGAGUUUUAAGCCACUGUCAAUCAAAACGAACAACAAACAAACGAAGCCAACUUACCCAGCUGGACCAUGGUUUUCUUGCUUUUCCUCCGUUUCUCUGGCAGGAGAAAACAGCCUCCUAUGCAGAAAAUGAACAGAGCAGGUAGUUACAGAAAACUUAUUAUCCUGAUGCUGAGAAGCAAACACUUUAAGAGGGACAUCAGCUACUUGUGUCGCAGAGCAGCCCUGUUCCAGAGCAUCACCAGAACUCAUGGCCACAACCAGUGUAACCUCUGCAGUGGGUGUUGUUGUGCUGCCCUCACUAUAUGUGUGAUUCAGUCCUAUCAGUUGUGUCCAACUCUGCACCCCCAUGGACUGUUGCCCUCUGCAAGCUCCUCUGUCCAUGGGAUUUUUCCAGGCAAGAAUACUGGAGUGGGGUGCCAUGCCCUCCUCCAGGGGAUUUUCCCCAACCAGGGAUUGAACCCGUAUCUCUGACAUCUUAUGCAGUGACAGGUAGGUUCUUUACCAUAGUGCCACAGGGGAAGCCCACCAGACAAUGAGCUAGUGUCUUAUUUCACUCUUGUAAUAAUCCAUCAAAGUCCUUAUUAAUACUCUCAUCUCAGUUUAAUAGGAAAAGAGAGAGAGAAAAAGGAGAGUUAGAGGGUGAAUUCAUUUCUUCAACUGAGUGAUGAAAAGAGCUUUGUACCCUCGUCUCCCUGACUUCAAGACCCAGUCUCUUUUCAACCAUUUCACCAUUAAAUCAUGGUGCUAUGUUGCCAAGUAUGGAAGGUUUAAAGUAAGUGAGUGACAAGAUCAAUGCAGAAUUUUGGGUGGAAAAAAAAAGUCUAAACGGGGUGUGCGAUUCUGGAGGGGAAGACACUCUAUUCAUGUCUACCGGAGUUCCUCUGACUGGAAAAUGGAAACCACCUCCCACUUGAUUAAGUGCCUUCCCUGAUGCCUGUCCUCAGAGUCGUUCUCAUUCUCUUCCCUGCUGUGAAGCCAGGUUUAGGAGGAGAUGGAAGAGAUAAGCAGAUGAAUAAAAAUAAGCAGACCAGAUAAUGUUGGCUGAUU